UUUCUCUUCUCCUUCUCCAUCGCUUCUUCUGUAAACCUCCUGCACUUCGCACUUCCCUAUCGGAUUUCCCGCUCGAUUAAUUCAGGCGAUUUGUCGUACGAUGGGGGCUUUCAUAUCGAGAUUCUGGUUCAUGUUAUUCCCGGCUAAAGAAUACAAGAUCGUGGUUGUUGGGUUGGAUAAUGCUGGAAAGACGACUACUCUUUACAAAUUGCACUUGGGAGAGGUUGUUACUACCCAUCCUACCGUGGGAAGCAAUG
rnacentral:misc_RNA from 1 species